rnacentral:rRNA from 1 species
GACGAACGCUGGCGGCGUGCUUAACACAUGCAAGUCGAACGGAAAGGCCCUGCUUUUGUGGGGUGCUCGAGUGGCGAAAGGGUGAGUAACACGUGAGUAACCUGCCCUUGACUUUGGGAUAACUUCAGGAAACUGGGGCUAAUACCGGAUAGGAGCUUCUGCUGCAUGGUGGGGGUUGGAAAGUUGCGGCGGUCGGGGAUGGACUCGCGGCUUAUCAGCUUGUUGGUGGGGUAGUGGCUUACCAAGGCUUUGACGGGUAGCCGGCCUGAGAGGGUGACCGGGGACAUGGGGACUGAGAUACGGCCCAGAAGGCUAUGGGAGGCAGCAGGGGGGAAUAUGGCACAAUGGGCGGAAGCGUGAGACAGCAACGCCGCGUGCGGGAUGACGGCUUUCGGGUUGUAAACCGCUUUCGCCUGUGACGAAGCGUGAGUGACGGUAAUGGGUAAAGAAGCACCGGCUAACUACGUG